GGGAUGUGUCUGGGGAGAUGUUUGGCCAUGGGGCAGGUGGGAUCCAUGUUCCCAUCCCCAUUCCUGGUGUUUCCCUGCAUGAGGAGGUGCUCCAGGCACCUGAUUUCCACAGAGCUGAAUAAUGGAGCUCUUAUCAGCUCACCCUGACUGGGUUGCAGUGUUCUGAGGGAGAUGUUGAAGCACCUUUGCCCAGGGAUGUGUUUGGGGAGGAUAUAUGGCCAUGGGUGCCAUGUUGCCAUGCCCUGUUUCCCUGCAGGUGCACCAGGCACCUGAUUUCCACAGAGCUGAACACUGGAGCUCACCGUGACUGGGUUGAAGUGUUCUGAGGGAAAUGUUGAAGCUCCUUUGCCAGGGGUUGUGUCUGGGGAGGAUAUAUGGCCAUGGGUGCCAUGUUGCCAUGCCCAUUCCUGUUUCCCUGCAGGUGCACCAGACACCUGAUUUCCACAGAGCUGAACCACUGGCACUUUUACACAUCACCCUGACUUGGCUGAAGUGUUCUGAGGGAGAUGUGGAAGUUCCUUUGCCCAGGGGAUGUGUCUGGGGGGACGUUUGGCCAUGGGGUGGGUGCCAUGUUGCCAUGCCAUGUUUCCCUGCUGGAAGAGGUGCACCAGGGCACCUGAUUUCCACAGAGCUCAACAAUCAAACUUUUAC
rnacentral:lncRNA from 1 species